GACGAACGCUGGCGGCGUGCCUAAUACAUGCAAGUAGAACGCUGAAGGAGGAGCUUGCUUCUCCGGAUGAGUUGCGAACGGGUGAGUAACGCGUAGGUAACCUGCCUGGUAGCGGGGGAUAACUAUUGGAAACGAUAGCUAAUACCGCAUAAUAGUAGAUGUUGCAUGACAUUUGCUUAAAAGGUGCAAUUGCACCACUACCAGAUGGACCUGCGUUGUAUUAGCCAGUUGGUGGGGUAACGGCUCACCAAGGCGACGAUACAUAGCCGACCUGAGAGGGUGAUCGGCCACACUGGGACUGAGACACGGCCCAGACUCCUACGGGAGGCAGCAGUAGGGAAUCUUCGGCAAUGGACGGAAGUCUGACCGAGCAACGCCGCGUGAGUGAAGAAGGUUCUCGGAUCGUAAAGCUCUGUUGUAAGAGAAGAACGAGUGUGAGAGUGGAAAG
rnacentral:rRNA from 1 species